GUGCGGUCUAUGUCUCUGACGAAUUGUUAUGACCAGCGUUGGUCUUGAUGAAUCUGUGACCUACGAGGGUAAGACGUAACAAGAUGCCCUUUACCAGUUUGAACUAUGUACGAUGUUAAUAUUAUGUUUCUAGCUCCGAGCGGAUUCGCGUAUUAGUGCCACCUAAUUAUCCAUAAUGAACGUACCGUAUAUUACCAGCACUUCCUUGUGCUGGGAUGUUCGUGUGUUGAAAAUUGAGAACAAACCCACCUACAAGGACACGACAAUACAAUUUUU